AUGACGAGGUCAAAUGUCAAAGAAGGUAAGUAAUUUAAAUGAGACAUCAAAAUAAUGGCAGUUAAGUCAGGUUGUAAAGACUGCAAAGAAUGAGGGAAAGUGACUAAACAUUGGGAGAGUGAUCAAUAUAAUCAAAUGGUAUGAGAUUCUAAGCUGGAGGGGUUUGAGGAGAAGGAAGUAGAAGUAUUCUGCAAGAGGACACUUAUUUUACUUCUAGAGGCAGUGGUUAGAGCGCUGAGGGUGAGAACUAGUCUGCACUUAGGGGGCGACAUGAGAAGCAGCAGCAUCAGUGAGAGACAGAUGACAAUAAGAAUGAAAAUGUAAAGGGAAAAUUGAGAAACUUAUAAAAAUUGAGAUUCUUCUAUGCACUCUGUACGUUUCUUACAGAAGCUUUCAACGCAUUUAAUUUCAUUUAAAUCUUGCAAUACUCUUGAGAGAUAUUAUCAUUCCCUUUUUACCAAAAAAGGCUGAAUGGCCAAGAUCACAUAAAAUCACAUAAAUAAUAGAAGUCAAAAGUAUGACUUUAACCCAUCUAGUGUUAUAAGAACCACAUAAUCUUCAGUAAGUUGAAAGUAUCUUAAUUAAAUUUAAAAAAUUAAUAAAUAUUUUUUCAAAAGAUGUAUUCAAGUUAUCAAUUUGAAGAAAAAUGAACAUAGGUCUCCAGGUAUUUAGCCAUUUUAAUUUUACCAGUUCUCUUGGAUACGUAAUGACAUACUGUAUAGGAGCCUAACACGAUAAUGGAAUCAGAAUAUACUUUGCUGAAGGUAUGAGGCUUUUAACUGAAAGUCUUCUCUCUACGUUUUUAUGUCUGUAACAAGAAUCCACUGAAGACCUACAUUUCCCGGAAGGUUAACAGCCCCCUUCUCAGUUUUCCUGGUAAAGUGUU
rnacentral:lncRNA from 10 species